CCUACGGGACGCACCAGUGGGGAAUAUUGCACAAUGGGCGCAAGCCUGAUGCAGCCAUGCCGCGUGUGUGAAGAAGGCCUUCGGGUUGUAAAGCACUUUCAGCGGGGAGGAAGGCGAUAAGGUUAAUAACCUUGUCGAUUGAGGUUACCCGCAGAAGAAGCACCGGCUAACUCCGUGCCAGCAGCCGCGGUAAUACAGAGGGUGCAAGCGUUAAUCGGAAUUACUGGGCGUAAAGCGCACGCAGGCGGUCUGUCAAGUCGGAUGUCAAAUCCCCGGGCUCAACCUGGGAACUGCAUUCGACACUGGCAGGCUAGAGUCUUGUAGAGGGGGGUAGAAUUCCAGGUGUAGCGGUGAAAUGCGUAGAGAUCUGGAGGAAUACCGGUGGCGAAGGCGGCCCCCUGGACAAAGACUGACGCUCAGGUGCGAAAGCGUGGGGAGCAAACAGGAUUAGAUACCCUUGUAGUC
rnacentral:rRNA from 1 species